UACAGAGGGUGCGAGCGUUAAUCGGAAUUACUGGGCGUAAAGCGUGCGUAGACGGUUAUUUAAGUCGGGUGUGAAAGCCCCGGGCUCAACCUGGGAAUUGCAUUCGAGACUGAAUAGCUAGGGUACGGUAGAGGGAAGCGGAAUUCCCAGUGUAGAGGUGAAAUUCGUAGAUAUUGGGAAGAACACCGGUGGCGAAGGCGGCUAUCUGGACCGACAUUGACGCUGAGGCGCGAAAGCGUGGGGAGCGAACAGG
rnacentral:rRNA from 1 species